UUUCAUUCGCUUGAGGCCAGCGGUUGCAUUACAGUCGCCAGUUGCGGUGUCUGAACUUUCGUGCACAGAUCUGUGUGUAUCUUGAUGAUGCUAUCUACAUUGCUACUCCUCCACUCUCUUGUUCUGUCGUCUAUCCGGGAAGCAUCCAGCAACGCGGGAACCGAAGUCGACUGCUUUCCACCGAAACCCGACUCCAAGACGCAGGUUCUCAGGCUCUCCUGUCAGGCGAAGAUCAGUGGCAGUUUCAAGGCAGUAGUACAUGAUGAAGAAAACCACCAAUUAAUUGUUGG